CGCAGACAGGUGUCUACGGAGUGGAAAGAAGUUGUUGCAUCUGAUAAUUCUUCAAUCGUGUAGCAGCAACUGCAGCUUACAUGGAAUGAGGAUUAUCGGAUUCAUCUACACUCACUGAUCAUCCAAGGUGAAUUGAUGACCUCAAGCAAAUGGAUGUUGUCAUCUGAAGAGAAAGUUAUCCUGGGCCCAUGUUUAGAGGCAUUUGGGGCAUAUCAGACACAUAUCAGAAUCAAGCUGCAUGCACACUUGAGUUUAUUCAGAGAGAAGUUGUGGGCAUCAGUCCGGAAACUGGAUCAAAAAUUUGCUGCUGGAAUGUGAGACAAAUAAAGGCAUGGAAUGAACCCAAAUGUAUGAACACUGCUACAAAAACUAAUGGACUUUCAAUGGCUUGCCAGUUAAUUCCAAUGGAAUUGAAGAAGAGACUCUGACAAGAUUUUCAAGUUGGUGUUUAAUUUAAAAGUUUAUCUUCAUAGAUAAGCAAUUUAAAGGUGUCAAAGCUGUGCGAAACUGGAGGGAGAACCUUGAGAGACCGUGCCGGAAGAAUGCUGGACAGAGUUCACUAAAAUUAAUUCAUUUCAAAGUUCAACAUGAAUGGUGGUGGUCCACUGCAGAAGCAAGCAUUUGAAAAAACAUCAGUUCUCAGUUAUUAAAGAUGCUGUGUUGAACAACUUCCCAGCAGCAACAGAACUGGAAGUGAAGGAUGCAAUGGGGGCAUUUCAAACAGGCACCAGGGAGCACGGUAGUGAUGGGUCGUUCGCGAACGCCGGCUCUGAGAGCUGAUUCUUUGUAGCGAACGAGCAGAGCCGAAUCUUCAGACGCAGGCCGGGGAGCCUGAGCCAGAAGAGCUGAGCCAGAAGAGCCGAAUCAAUGAAAAGAGCCGGACUGCCAUGACUAAAAUGUAGAGCCGGAGCUUGAGCCGAAAGAGCCGAAUCAAUGGAAAGAGCCGGACUGCCCAUCACUAGAGCACGGGGGGGGGGGGUAUAGAAAUUAGUACAAUUAAUAAGUUGACGUGAACUGAAGAUAGUUUGUUAAUGUUUAGAUGUUAUUUCAUUUUUAAAAUUGUAUUUUGUU